UCUCUUUUACCCUCAUCCCCAUGACCUUAGGCAACAUCACCGGCUAUUGGUUUCACCAAAAAUCUGAGAAAACAAAAUCCCCUAUUCCAUCUCUAUUUUGGCUACUUUUUAUUCUCUACUGGUUGUUUCCACCAUCGGUAAUCAUAAUCGAGGCCUUUGGCCUCUCCCUUGCAUUAGCCUUUGGGUAUGCUAGAGCCCCAGCCAUUGGCAAGCU
rnacentral:lncRNA from 1 species